GACGAACGCUGGCGGCGUGCUUAACACAUGCAAGUCGAACGGAAAGGCCCUGCUUUUGUGGGGUGCUCGAGUGGCGAACGGGUGAGUAACACGUGAGUAACCUGCCCUUGACUUUGGGAUAACUUCAGGAAACUGGGGCUAAUACCGGAUAGGAGCUCCUGCUGCAUGGUGGGGGUUGGAAAGUUUCGGCGGUUGGGGAUGGACUCGCGGCUUAUCAGCUUGUUGGUGGGGUAGUGGCUUACCAAGGCUUUGACGGGUAGCCGGCCUGAGAGGGUGACAGGCCACAUUGGGACUGAGAUACGGCCCAGACUCCUACGGGAGGCAGGAGUGGGGAAUAGUGCACAAUGGGCGGAAGCCUGAUGCAGCAACGCCGCGUGCGGGAUGACGGCCUUCGGGUUGUAAACCGCUUUCGCCUGUGACGAAGCGUGAGUGACGGUACUGGGUAAAGAAGCACCGGCUAACUACGUG
rnacentral:rRNA from 1 species